rnacentral:rRNA from 1 species
GACGAACGCUGGCGGCGUGCUUAACACAUGCAAGUCGAACGGAAAGGCCCUGCUUUUGUGGGGUGCUCGAGUGGCGAACGGGUGAGUAACACGUGAGUAACCUGCCCUUGACUUUGGGAUAACUUCAGGAAACUGGGGCUAAUACAGGAUAGGAGCUCCUGCUGCAUGGUGGGGGUUGGAAAGUUUCGGCGGUUGGGGAUGGACUCGCGGCUUAUCAGCUUGUUGGUGGGGUAGUGGUUUACCAAGGCUUUGACGGGUAGCCGGCCUGGGAGGGUGACCGGCCUCCUUGGGCCUGCGGUACGGCCCAGACUCCUACGUUAGGCAGCAGUGGGGAAUAUUGCACAAUGGGCGGAAGUCUGAUGCAGCAACGCUGCGUUCGUGAUGCCGUCCUUCUGGUUGUAAACCGCUUUCGCCUGUGACGAAGCGUGAGUGACGGUAAUGGGUAAAGAAGCACCGGCUAACUACGUG